CCAGGACGCAGAGGGUCCUGCCCUGGAGGAGGAAACAGUUCCCUAGGCCUGCCCCUGGCUUGCAGGGCCUGGUGGAGAGCUGCAAGUGGGGAGCAAGCAGGGUGUUUUUGAUUUUUAGUUAAUUAAAUUUCACUUGUGUUUUUUAUCAAAGUCAUAAAGGUACCUGGUUUAAAUAAUCAAAUAAUUCUGUAAGACUUGUAAUGAGAAACCAGCAGCUCCUUACCCACCCACCCCCUCCUUUCCUGAUUUCCCCUUCUCAGAGGCAAAAUUCUGUUAUUUUAAUUUGGUGUGGUUUUGUUUUUUGGGGUUUUUUUUUUGGGGGGGUAUUCUACAUAACAUGCUAAUGUUGUUUUUUUUUUUUUUUCCAGGUUUAGAAAUUGUCCACUGACUUUCCUGCUGUGGGGAUUGAGUUUGUUCCUUCACACACAGCCCCUCACACACACCACACACACACACUCUUUCCUUCUACUCGUCUUCUCAUUUUGGUUGAAUCAGAAUUCCAUGUAUGCAUUAUUUCUUUACACAUACUAUUCACAGCUGAGUAACACAUGGUAAUUACAUCUCCUUUCUUGUACAGCCUCCUGUUUUUCCUGGACUUAAUAAUUGCCUCAUGUUUUGGGUUUGAUUUAUUUUCUUUGUACCCAUUACUUAUUUAUCCCCAAACUCUGCAAUGAAAAGAUAAAUCUCUUUUUGGUGCGUUAAAAACAUUAGGCAAGGGGCUGGCCCCGUGGCACAGUGGUUAAGUGCGAGCGUUCCGCUUCGGCGGCCCGGGGUUCACCGGUUCGGAUCCCGGGUGUGGACAUGGCGCCGCUUGGCAAGCCAUGCUGUGGCAGGCAUCCCACGUAUAAAGUAGAGGAAGAUGGACACGGAUCUUAGCUCAGGGCAAGUCUUCCUCAGCAAAAUGAGGAGGAUUGGUGGCAGGUGUUAGCUCAGGGCUAAUCUUCUUCAGGGGGAAAAACAAUUAGGCCAUUUAUGAAUUUAUUUUUUCUUGGAGCCUUUGGUAGCCAGCCUCAAAGAUGGCCCCCAGUGAUCCAUGCCUCCUGGGAUUUGUGUAGUUCUCUGGCCAGAUCGAAUCAGAUCGGUCUGUGUGACCAGUGGAGGUGCAGGAGUGAGGGUGUGUCACUUCUGAUACUAGACCAUAAAACACAUUGGGACUUUUGUCUUGAUGAUGUCCUCUUUCUCCUUCUCUCUCGUCGUUCACUUUGAGGGGAGUCAGCUGCCAUGUCAUAAGGUGCUCUGUGAAGUCCACAUGGCAGGGAACUGAGCCCACCUGGAAUUCACCAUGUGAGGGAGCCAUCUUGCAAGUGCACCCUCCAGCCAUGGUCCAGCCUUCAGAUGCCCACAGCCCUGGCCGUCAUCUUGAGUGCAACUUCAUGAGAGACCCUGAGCCAGAACCAGCUAGCCUAUCUGCUCCCAGCUUCCUGCCCCUCAGAAACUGUGAGGUAAUAGAUCUUUGUUCUGAGAUAAUUUGUUACGCAGCAAAAGAUAACUAAUACAGAGCCAUUCCUCCUCUAGCUACCUGUCUCAGUUGCCUCCUAAGCCUGCCACACAUCCAUCACCGAGGACCUCUCCCCACCCUCCCCUCGCUCCUGUGCUGAGCCCCCACCUUCAUAGGUCCCGUGCAGUCCUCUGUUUGGAGCUGCUGCCUUGUUUUAAUGGCACAAGAACACCAUGAUGUCUUUCAGGUGUCUGUCAACAGCCUCAAAACGAACUUCAUUGUCACAUUCAUGAUGUGUGAAUCCCAGGUGUGGUGGGAGAUCCGCUGUUCCCUCUUCUGAGCCUCUGGUGUUCCACCGGCGAGGCCAGCACUGUCCAUGGUGCUGAAGCCGAUGCCCGAUGGCUGCCUGGGCUGCCAGCGAGAUGCUGGAGGAGCCGGGGUUCUAGCUUACUCCUCUUCCACUUUGCUCCCUCCCCCCAAGAUCCUCCGCAUCACCUCUCCUCCAGUCCUGGCCCUGGCCCUCUGUCCAGUCCUCGCCUUUCUGCACCAAGCUAUCUUCCUGCCUGGGGCUCCUGUGUUGCUCUUGUGAGCAGACCCCACACAGGUUCUGCAGACGGCUGGACUUGGGGUAAGAGCCUGCAGGUGUCUGAGCUGAGAACUCUCCAGAUUACAUGUGACAGAAACCAACUUAAACCACCUUCAGC
ensembl:lncRNA